GGAGGUAGUGACAAUAAAUCACAAUGCGGAACAAUGUUUUGCAAUUGGAUUGAGAACAACGUACAAACCUUAUCGAUAAACAAUUGGAGGGCAAGUCUGGUGCCAGCAGCCGCGGUAAUUCCAGCUCCAAUAGCGUAUAUUAACGUUGUUGCAGUUAAAAAGCUCGUAGUUGAAACGAAGGGUGGUGUUGUUGGAUUUACAUUCGUGUAUUUCUUUCAACUCCUCCCUCCUUCUAAAUUCGAUAUAUGAGUAUUAAUCUACUUGUAUAUGGUUUUAGACAUUUACUGUGAGAAAAUUAGAGUGUUCAAAGCAGGCAUUUGCUUGAAUAUAUUAGCAUGGAAUAAUCAUGUAUGAUUUUCAUGAUGUAUUUGAUUGGUUUGGUUCAUGCGAAUAAGAUUAAAAGGGACAGUUGGGGGUAUUCAUAUUCAAUAGUCAGAGGUGAAAUUCUCGGAUUUAUGGAGGAUGAACAAGUGCGAAAGCA
rnacentral:rRNA from 1 species